UACGAAGGGGGCUAGCGUUGCUCGGAAUUACUGGGCGUAAAGGGCGCGUAGGCGGGUCGUUAAGUUAGAGGUGAAAGCCCAGGGCUCAACCCUGGAAUUGCCUUUGAUACUGGCGGCCUUGAGUGUGGCAGAGGAAGGUGGAAUUCCACGUGUAGCGGUGAAAUGCGUAGAGAUGUGGAGGAACACCAAUGGCGAAGGCAGCCUUCUGGGCCAACACUGACGCUCAUGCACGAAAGCGUGGGGAGCAAACAGG
rnacentral:rRNA from 1 species